AUCGCGCUCCAUGCAAGUCGAGCGGAUGAGAGGAGCUUGCUCCUUGAUUUAGCGGCGGACGGGUGAGUAAUGCCUAGGAAUCUGCCUGGUAGUGGGGGAUAACGUUCCGAAAGGAACGCUAAUACCGCAUACGUCCUACGGGAGAAAGCAGGGGACCUUCGGGCCUUGCGCUAUCAGAUGAGCCUAGGUCGGAUUAGCUAGUUGGUGAGGUAAUGGCUCACCAAGGCGACGAUCCGUAACUGGUCUGAGAGGAUGAUCAGUCACACUGGAACUGAGACACGGUCCAGACUCCUACGGGAGGCAGCAGUGGGGAAUAUUGGACAAUGGGCGAAAGCCUGAUCCAGCCAUGCCGCGUGUGUGAAGAAGGUCUUCGGAUUGUAAAGCACUUUAAGUUGGGAGGAAGGGCAUUAACCUAAUACGUUAGUGUUUUGACGUUACCGACAGAAUAAGCACCGGCUAACUUCGUGCCAGCAGCCGCGGUAAUACGAAGGGUGCAAGCGUUAAUCGGAAUUACUGGGCGUAAAGCGCGCGUAGGUGGUUCGUUAAGUUGGAUGUGAAAGCCCCGGGCUCAACCUGGGAACUGCAUCCAAAACUGGCGAGCUAGAGUACGGUAGAGGGUGGUGGAAUUUCCUGUGUAGCGGUGAAAUGCGUAGAUAUAGGAAGGAACACCAGUGGCGAAGGCGACCACCUGGACUGAUACUGACACUGAGGUGCGAAAGCGUGGGGAGCAAACAGGAUUAGAUACCCUGGUAGUCCACGCCGUAAACGAUGUCAACUAGCCGUUGGGUUCCUUGAGAACUUAGUGGCGCAGCUAACGCAUUAAGUUGACCGCCUGGGGAGUACGGCCGCAAGGUUAAAACUCAAAUGAAUUGACGGGGGCCCGCACAAGCGGUGGAGCAUGUGGUUUAA
rnacentral:rRNA from 1 species